rnacentral:rRNA from 1 species
GCAGCCGAGCGGUAGAGUAUCUUCGGAUACUUGAGAGCGGCGUACGGGUGCGGAACACGUGUGCAACCUGCCUUUAUCAGGGGGAUAGCCUUUCGAAAGGAAGAUUAAUACCCCAUAAUAUAUUUUACGGCAUCGUGGAAUAUUGAAAACUCCGGUGGAUAGAGAUGGGCACGCGCAAGAUUAGAUAGUUGGUAGGGUAACGGCCUACCAAGUCAGUGAUCUUUAGGGGGCCUGAGAGGGUGAUCCCCCACACUGGUACUGAGACACGGACCAGACUCCUACGGGAGGCAGCAGUGAGGAAUAUUGGACAAUGGGUGAGAGCCUGAUCCAGCCAUCCCGCGUGAAGGACGACGGCCCUAUGGGUUGUAAACUUCUUUUGUAUAGGGAUAAACCUUUCCACGUGUGGAAAGCUGAAGGUACUAUACGAAUAAGCACCGGCUAACUCCGUGCCAGCGGCCGCGGUAAUACGGAGGGUGCAAGCGUUAUCCGGAUUUAUUGGGUUUAAAGGGUCCGUAGGCGGAUCUGUAAGUCAGUGGUGAAAUCUCACAGCUUAACUGUGAAACUGCCAUUGAUACUGCAGGUCUUGAGUAAGGUAGAAGUGGCUGGAAUAAGUAGUGUAGCGGUGAAAUGCAUAGAUAUUACUUAGAACACCAAUUGCGAAGGCAGGUCACUAUGUCUUAACUGACGCUGAUGGACGAAAGCGUGGGGAGCGAACAGGAUUAGAUACCCUGGUAGUCCACGCCGUAAACGAUGCUAACUCGUUUUUGGGUUUUCGGAUUCAGAGACUAGGCGAAAGUGAUAAGUUAGCCACCUGGGGAGUACGUUCGCAAGAAUGAAACUC